rnacentral:rRNA from 1 species
GAUGAACGCUGGCGGCGUGCCUAAUACAUGCAAGUCGAGCGAACAGACGAGGAGCUUGCUCCUCUGACGUUAGCGGCGGACGGGUGAGUAACACGUGGAUAACCUACCUAUAAGACUGGGAUAACUUCGGGAAACCGGAGCUAAUACCGGAUAAUAUAUUGAACCGCAUGGUUCAAUAGUGAAAGACGGUUUUGCUGUCACUUAUAGAUGGAUCCGCGCCGGAUUAGCUAGUUGGUAAGGUAACGGCUUACCAAGGCAACGAUGCGUAGCCGACCUGAGAGGGUGAUCGGCCACACUGGAACUGAGACACGGUCCAGACUCCUACGGGAGGCAGCAGUAGCGAAUCUUCCGCAAUGGGCGAAAGCCUGACGGAGCAACGCCGCGUGAGUGAUGAAGGUCUUCGGAUCGUAAAACUCUGUUAUUAGGGAAGAACAAAUGUGUAAGUAACUAUGCACGUCUUGACGGUACCUAAUCAGAAAGCCACGGCUAACUACGUG